rnacentral:rRNA from 1 species
UACGAAGGGGGCGAGCGUUGUUCGGAUUUACUGGGCGUAAAGGGCGCGUAGGCGGCCCUCCUUGUCGCGUGUGAAAGCCCCGGGCUCAACCUGGGAAUUGCAUUCGAGACUGAAUAGCUAGGGUACGGUAGAGGGAAGCGGAAUUUCCGGUGUAGCGGUGAAAUGCGUAGAUAUCGGAAGGAACAUCAGUGGCGAAAGCGGCUUCCUGGACCAGUACCGACGUUCAGGCACGAAAGCGUGGGGAGCAAACAGG